rnacentral:rRNA from 1 species
CAGCAGCCGCGGGAAUACGUAGGUCCCGAGCGUUGUCCGGAUUUAUUGGGCGUAAAGCGAGCGCAGGCGGUUAGAUCAGUCUGAAGUUAAAGGCUGUGGCUUAACCAUAGUACGCUUUGGAAACUGUUUAACUUGAGUGCAAGAGGGGAGAGUGGAAUUCCAUGUGUAGCGGUGAAAUGCGUAGAUAUAUGGAGGAACACCGGUGGCGAAAGCGGCUCUCUGGCUUGUAACUGACGCUGAGGCUCGAAAGCGUGGGGAGCAAGCAGGAUUAGAUACCCCCGUAGUCCCUGUCUCUUAUACA